CAUUCUAAAUAAUUGAAGUAUUUAAUAAAACAAUUUAGAUAAUCCUUCCUUAACUAAUGUUCUUACAACAUGUUUUAUAGUAGGACCCUCAAUAAAUUGACCACACAAACUAGCUUUAUGACUCAAAACUUUGGAAAUACAUGGUGCCAUGCAAAUGAUUCGAUAUCUUGUUUCAAUGGGACUGUCCAUUUUGUUUACACUUAUAGCAUCUAAGAAGACAUGCGAUCAUGGAGACAGCUGAUGAUAUCAGACAUAGUUUACAUUCAUUUAUUUGUCUUAAUCAUUAUGCCACUUUCGGAUAAGAUGCAUUUUAUCACUGACAUUUUGGAACAUAAUAUUGGUCCCAUUCCGUUUCCAUUAAAACCCAAAAAUUCCCUUGGUACCUUUACUUCACUUUACGGACCACACAUAAUUUGUACCCAUGUCUGAUUAAUCACUGAUUGAUUCAUUUGCUUAUGUUACAUGUUCAAUCUUCUUAAUAGUACUUUAUAUGAAAUAAAAUAAAAGUAUAUAAUUAUGUCUUAAGAAUUCAUAAAUAUUUAAUACUUUUAUAUUUAAUAAGUUAGAAGAUUGAUAGGAAAGUGUUGUAAAAAUACAAUAAAGUCAUUAUUAUAUGUGAGAAAAAUUUGAAUCAAACUUCUCUUUUUUCACAAUAAAAGAAAGCUGACCUCUUAAUUACUAUCAUCUGUCUUGCCAAAUAUAGUAAUUGCUUUGUGUGAGCCUUCCUACUCACAAUAAUUAAGAUAUGUGUGGACCUAUUAAAAAAGCAGUUUUUACUGACCGAAUUAAUUUAUCUGCACCGACAAAUUAAACUGUGAGAAGAGUAUCUAAACUACAUCUUACUAUUUUAUUUAGUUCUGCACAUUUUUAUUGGCUAUCCGUACAAUGCUUAUUCAUAACCUAAAAAUGCAAGAAAAGAUGGCAUGGAUGUUAGAAAAGAUAAGAUAAGUACUAAGUGACAUCACCAAGAUCUAUAU
rnacentral:lncRNA from 1 species